ensembl:lncRNA
UUUUUUGUUUUUUUUUUUUUUUUUCUUUUAAGGGUCGCACCCACAGCAUAUGAAAGUUCCCAGGUUAGAGAUCGAAUCAGAGCUGUAGUCACUGGCCUACACCACAGCCACAACAACGCCAGAUCCGUGCCACGUAUGUGACCUACACCACAGCUCAUGGCAACACUGGAUCCUUAACCCACUGAGCAAGGCCUGGGAUCAAAUCUGCAUCCUCAUGGAUACUAGUCAAGAUUUGUUUCCGCUGAGCCAGGAUGGAAACUCUGGGAAUUAGCACUUGUUCCUAUUGUUGCUAUAACAAAUUAUCACUAUUUUAGUGGCAUAAAACAACAUACAUUUAUAAACUUACACUUCUGUGGCUAGAAGUCCAACUUCCAUGCCUGGUCUCACUGUGAGAAAAUCUUGGCAGGCGUGUGUCCUUUCUGGAGGUUCUAGAGGAGAAUCCACUUCCUUCCCAUUCCCCAGUUCUAGUGGCCACCCACGUUCCUCAGCUCCCGGCUCCCUCCCUCCCUUCCAGAACCAGUAAUGGCGAGUUGAGUCCUUCUCAUUUCACCUCAGUCUGACUUCCUCUUCUGCUUCCCUCUUCCUGCUUGUGAUUUUAUUGGGCUCACCUGGGAGAUCCGGGCUCCUCUCUCUCUCUCUCUCUCUCUCUCUCUCUCUCAAGGUCCUCAAUUGAAUCAUACCUUCAAAGUCAACUUCAAGCAGACAGUAAUCUCCUUCGGCCAGUUUCUCGACAUGUAAAAGGGGAAUAAUAAUAACUACCUGAGAGAAGUGAAGAUAUUUAUGUUAAAGACCAGACACAUUACUUGGCAAGAAGCAGAUAUUUAAGAGUGGUGGCUGUUAUUAUUAUAAACAAGGCUUUUAUAUCCUUGUUUAUCCCUUCAGGGGCCAAAUAACAUGAGCUUAAUCUGGUAAAUUAAUUGAAAUCAUUACAUACUCCUCUGCCUUCUAAGAAGGCAAUCUAUGUUUUUAAUCACCAAGGCCACUACAGAAUAAAUCUGCCUUCCCUAAACCUCUCGGAUACUUGCCGGCUCAUGUUGCAGCAUCACCACCUAGAAGGUUAAUGACAAUUUAUGUUAAACACCUGGCUUGUUGCCUGGCAUGGAACAGGCACUCAAGAAUGGUGUCUAGGGAGUUUCCAUCGUGGUGUAGUGGAAACAAAUCUGACUAGUAUCCAUGAGGAUGUGGGUUCAAUCCCUGGUCUCCUUAAGUGGGUUGGGGAUCUGGUGUUGCCAUGAACUGUGGUGUAGGUUGCAGAUGCAGCUCGGAUCUCACGUGACUGUGGCUGUGGCCGGCAGCUGUAGCUCCGAUUAGAACUCUAGCCUGGGAACUUCCAUAUGCCAGGGGUGUGGCCCUAAAAAGCAAAAGAAGAGAAAAGAAUGGUGUCUAUUAUUGUCAUUAUAGCAAAAGCUUAUCCCUAAUCCAUCAAGUGCCAGGUUAUAUCAGUUGUAUGGAAAGUUAAGAGUAAAUGCUUUGUAUACUCCUCUUCAUUUUUACAGGAAUAUAAUUUUAAUCCUUUUCUGAUUUCAUUGGCACUAUGUUAAGAACAUCAUUUAAUGUGCUGGACAAUAGUACUGUCCACUCUCAGAGGCUCUAAGACAGUAGGGACAGUAGCCUUGAAGUAGUUGAUAUCACAUUAUCCUUCUCUUUGAGGUUUCCAAUUAAUAAAAUGUUACGGUUAUUUUAUUUCCUUUCCUGUCAUCGGGUUGUCAACACUCAUAUCUUGCUAGUGACACUGUAACUGUCUUUUGCAAUAAUCCACCCACUCUCAUUCUCAUGGGGCGUGCAGUGAAAUAAACAAAAAACCCCCCAAAAACAGAACAAUAAAAACCAAUGGGACCAACGAGCCUGUGUAUAGACAUUGGUGCAAACCUGUAAAUAUAACUAAAUAUUAUAGAUUUUAUAUCAUGAAUAUUUAUAAAUUUAUUAUAUAUUUAUUAUAUAUUUAUCAAGAACUAUAAAAGUGUCUUUUAGGACAUUUACUUCAUUAAUCUGCACUAGUGAACAGAAACAAUCCUUGUCCAGUUUAUGGGUAAGCACAGAGUAAAUGGAUGCCAAGUGAGCAUUUAUAUAAGCAAUGAUCAGGAUGUUCCUGGUCUUUUAUAACAACACCUUCAAGUAACUUGUGCUCAGGGGAAAAACAGAAUCAGCCAAACAAGUAAGAGCUGGGUGUGAAUGAAGAGCCUACAGAUACUGAGUGAGACCUUACUGUGGUCAGGAUGAACUGUUGUGAUGCCUGUUUCAAUUAUCCAGAGGCUAUUUUCUUGAUUUCUUCUUCUGAACUUUCUCUGGUUUGAAGGAAGUCAUCAGUUAAAACCAUAGGAUGAGUGGAUGUUUUGUAGUUUCUUUCAGGAGGCACAGUCAUAGUGAAGAUAAGACAAAGUCUGUGAUGUGGAAAAAGGCCUGCAGUCUUGGGAGGAGUGUGUUCCUGGUGAAUAGGGCUCUGAGGACAUGAGUAGAAACCGUACUUAAUUUCUAGGCAGAUAUGUAACUGUGUUCUUGGAGAUGAUGCAAGGUCAUCAGCUUUUAAAUGACCAGAUCAAAGUGCCUCUUUGGCAUCAAAGACCCAGAGGAUCUUAGAGACCCUUUGGAAACUCCUCGGCCCUGGACCGAUUGUCUUAGGCACAUCUUUAUCCAGUAGUCAGAUGGGCUUAAGCAAUCAAUGCCUUACUUUUCCUCAGCACCAAUAAGUGCCAUCACAGCAAACCUCCAGUUAAGAUGAGAAUGUGAAGGAUGGGCUCCCCAAGGAGCCCAGGAGCUGAGCAGAGACCAUGAGUUAGAGAAGGGUUGGUUUCUCUUUUUCCUGAUUUGUCUUGUGCUCAGUCUGGAAUGACUUAUGCCUUUUACUUUUAUCUCAGGAGCUCAGGAAUUUUCAUUGGCCCAAAUACUACUAAGAAAUCCUUUCAAUCUCUCUCUAGGAAGAUAGUUCUUACAAAUGAUGAGGUAGGAGUGGGUUAGGGAUCUGGUGUUGUCACUGCAAAGGCUUGGGUCUCUGCUCUGGUGUGGGUUUGCUACCUGACCUGGGAAUUUCCACAUGCCACAGGGAUGGCCAAGAUGAAAUGUGACAAAACAAUCUUUUGUUUUGUUUUGUUUUGUUUUUUAGGGCCGCCCUUAUGCCAUAUGGAAGUUCCAGGCUAGGGGGUGGAUCAGAGCUGCAGCUGCUGGGCUAUGCCAUAGCCACAGCAACUUGGGAUCAGAGCCACGUCUGCAGGCUAUACCACAGCUCGUGGCAACGCUGGAUCUUUAACCCACUGAAUGAGACCAGGGAUCGAACCUGCAUCCUCAUGGGUAUUGGCGGGUUUGUUAUCCCGAGUCAUAGUGGGAACUCUAAGCAAUCAUUUUGAAGAAAUUGUCAUGAAAAGAGAAACAAAAAAGAACUCACAUUCAUAAUAAUCCCAAAUAUUUAUCAACAAAAUGUAAAGAAGCCAUAUGAUAUUCUCAGAGAUUAAACUUUCGGUGCAUGCAGUCUUCCUGCUCUGUCCCCUGAACUCACAGAGCAUGCCUCAUUUGGUCAAGAAGCCUGUGUCGACGUCCACUGUGCCACAUAUUUUGCCUGAUGCUAAGGACAGAGAGGUGAAGGAUGCUGUCCUUGCCCUCUGAGCUUUGGCUCAUGUCGUCAGUACAGUUCCUAUCAAUCAUGAUAUGUGUUAAGGAAGGGUCCAAGGUCUUACUCACAUUUGCUCACUGUGUUAAGCACAGUAGUUAAUUUUCAUUGUACUAGAAAAUUUAAAUGGUAAUUUUUUUUCUCCAAAAUAUGGUCAGGGGAAUAAAGGGAAAGUGAGAUUAGAUGAAAAGAAUCAAAAUUGUUGGACUUAACAAGGCACCAGCAUUUCCUGAUUGACUACCAUGCACUAGAUGUCAUUCCAGGAAAUUUGUAUUUGUUUCCUUGUGUAAUCUUCACCCCAAUCCCAUAAGGCAGGAAGAUCCUAAGCCUUAUAGAAGUUAAUAUAAUAAACCUCCUCACCCAUCCUUCCCACUACAGCCAGGUGACCUCAUCUGGUCACCCACUGGCUUGGCAGCCUUCCAACUCUCUACUGGCUUUGGAAUAAUGAGAAACUAUGAGACUUGGUGUUUCCCCAAGUCUCCAGCCUCAUCUCUUGCCUCUCUUUCUCCUUCUCCCUUCUCUCUUAGUAUAAUGCUUUUCCUUCAGUUUCCUUUGCACACACCAUGCCCUUUUCAUACCCUGCCUUUUCACAGGCUGUUCUCAGAUGCAGAGUGCUUUUCAUUAACUGUUGAAUGAAUGAGUGAAUGAGUGACUGAAUAAGGUAUAUUGGAGAGUCAGGAUAGGAACCUGGUCAGGAGAAAGAUUAGAAGUAGUAAGGGGAUUAGGGAACUAAUCACAAAACUAUAAUAGAUGAGUUCUUGUUGACAAUAAAAUGUAGCCCAUCUAACACCGAGGUCUUGAUUUCUUCUCUUUACUAGUGCCGUUUUUUUUUUUUUUUUUGUAAGUUUGUUUUUAAUUGUUUUGUUUUGUUUUUGAGAAACUUUUUUUUUCAUUUUUAAAAGUUUUAUUGAAGUAUAGUUAAUUAACAAGGCUCUGAUAAUUUAUGCUGUACAACAAAACGAACCAGUCAUACAUAUACACAUAUACAUCCUGAUUCUUUUCUCACAUAGAUUAUCACAGAAUACCGGGUAAAGUUCUCUGUGCUGUCUAGCAUGUCCCCGCUGGCCAGUCAUUCCAUAUACCUCAGUGUGAAUAUGCCAAUCCCAAAUCCCCAUUCCAUCCCUCUCACCCACCAACCUGUCCCCUUUGGUAAGUUUUUUUUUUUCAAAGUCUGUGGGUCUGUUUCUCUUCUGCAAAUAAGUUCAUUUGUAUCCUUUUUUAAAUGAUUCCACAUAUAGGUGAUAUAUGAUAUCUGUCUUUCACUACAUUGACUAACUUCACUUAUGAUAGUUUCUGGGUCUAUCCAUGUUGCUGCAAAUGGCAUUAUUUCAUUCUUUUUUACUGCUGAGUAAUUCUAUUGUGUAUACGUUCUACUUCUUAUUUAUCCACUCCUUUGUCAAUGGACAUUUAGGUUGCUUCCAUGUCUUGGCUAUUUUUUUUGUAGCAUUUUUUAUUACUCAAUUACUUGGCUAUUGUUAAUAGUGGUGCAGUUAACACUGGGGUGCAUUUAUCUUUUUGAAUUAUGGUUUUCUCUGGAUAGAUGCCCAGGAGUGGGAUUGCUGGUAGUUCUAUUUCUAGUUUUUUGAGGAACUUCUAUAUUGUUUUUCAUAGUGGUUGCACCAAUGCACAUUCCUGCCAACAGUGUAAAAAGGUUCCCUUUUUUCCAUACCCUCUCCAGCAUUUAUUAUUUGUAGACUUUUUGAUGAUGGCCAUUCUGGCUGGUAUAAGGUGUACCUUAUAGUAGUUUUGAUUUGCAUUUCUCUAAUAAUUAGUGAUUUUUGAGCAUCUUUUCAUAUUUUUUUUUACCAUAUGUAUGUCUUCUUUGGAGAAAUGUUUAUUUAGAUCUGCCAGUUUUUUUAUUGGGUGGUUUGUUUUUUGGUAUUGAGCUGCAGGAGUUGUUUUUUAUAUUUUGGAGAUUAAUCCUUUGUCAGUUGUUUCAUUUGCAAAUAUAUUUUUUUCAUUCUGUGGGCUGUCUUUUUGUUUUGUUUAGGGUUUCCUUUGCUGUGCAAACACUUGUAAGUUUAAUUACAUCCCAUUGGUGAAUUUUUGUUUUUAUUGUCAUUACUUUAGGAGGUGGAUCUGAGAAGACAUUGCUGAGACAGUGUUUGGACUAUGUUUUCCUCUGAGAGUUUUAUAGUAUCUGGUUUUAUAUUUAGGUCUUUAAUCCAUUUUGAGUUUAUUUUUGUGUAUGAUGUUAGAGAGUGUUCUAACUUCAUUCUUUUGCAUGUAGCUGUCCAGCUUUCCCAGCGCCACUUAUUGAAGAGACUGCCUUUUCUCCAUUGUGUAUUCUUGCACUAUUCUUUGUCAUAGAUUAAUUAGCCAUAGGUGCUUGGAUGUAUUUCUGGGCUUUCUGUCCUGUUCCAUUGAUCUAUAUUUCUGUUUUUGUGCCAGUACCAUACUGUUUUAAUGACUGUAUCUUUGUAGUAUAGUCUGAAGCCAGGGAGCCUGAUUCCUCCAUCUCCAUUUUUCUUUCUCGGGAUGGCUUUGGAUAUUCGAGGUCUUUUGUGUUUCCAAACAAAUUUUAAAAUAUUUUGUUCUAAUUCUGUGAAAAAUUGCUAUUGGUAAUUUUAUAGGAAUUGCAUUGACUCUGUAGAUUGCCUUGGAUAAUAUAGUCAUUUUGACAGUAUUGAUUCUUCCAGUCCAAGAGCAUGGUAUAUCUUUUCAUCUUUUUGUGUCAUCUUUGGUUUCUUUCAUCAGUAACUUAUAGUUUUCAGAGCACAGGUUUUUGUUGCAUCCAUAACAUAAAGAAAUUCCCAGGCCAGGGAUCAAACCUGUGCCACAGCAGUAACAAUUCCAAAUCCUUAACCCACCAAGCCACCAGGGAACUUCAUUUCUUGUUCUUCUUUUAAGUGUCAGCAUUAGUGCCACAUUCUCUAGGAAGCUUUUCUAUUCCCAAGCUAGUAAAAACCCCUGCUAUAAGCUAUGGAACUCCCUACAUGCAUUUCCCUUCUGUAAUACUCACCACACUUUGAAGACACACACUUUUAUAUCUUUCUUAUCUGGUUUUAUAUUCUUAGUACACAGCAUUGUAAACAGUACUGGUAGUUGUUCUCUGUAUUUAUUGACUUAAAUUACACAUAGUUACUCCAGGACACAUAGUUGAUUUGUUUUUCUUAUUGGUUGGGUGUUUUAUUUGUCUAGCCAUUUGUUUCUUGCACAUAGCAUUACGAGUGAUUGGAGAUUAUAUAUAUUCCCUACCUUCUCUUUCCAGGGUAAAGAAUUGGUCAGGGAUUGGGGCUACUCUUAAGUAUAAAAUGAUAUUAUCUAAUUGAAUGUUAGAAUUAAAAUAACAACUAUUCCGAUUAUUCGGAAUUAACAUUCUCUAAAUGUUCCAUUAGGCUUAUGCUCUGCAGAGCACAUGUGUUUAUUUUCCUUUCUUUUACCUUACUUCUCAUCCCCUCUCUUUUUGCUGACUAAUUCCUAUCCAUCUUUUCCAUGUCACCAUUGCUAUCACUUGAUUUGACAUGCACCUAACUAUUUAAAUGACAGUUGUAUUCCCAGUGUCAUUUUUAAAAGGAUAUCAGUCAAAAGGUAGGAGCUAUGAGUUCCUGUCAUGGCUCAGUGGUUAACAAACCCAACUAGUAUGCAUGAGAAUGUGGGUUUAAUCCCCAGCCUUGCUCUGUGGGUUAAGAAUCUGGUGUUGCAGUGAGCUGUGGUGUAGGUUACAGAUGUAGCUAGGAUCCAGUGUUGCUGUAGCUGUGUGCAGACAGGCAGCUACAGCUCCAAUUCGACCCCUAGCCUGGGAACCUCCGUAUGCGUCAGGUGUAGCCCUAAAAAGACAGAAAAAAAAAAAAAAAAAAAAAANGAUAGGAGCUCAAUAUACGCUGUUGAAUAAAAGAGUAAGUGGGUAAAUAAAUGAAGGUGUGUUGGAGAGACUCGGGGUAGGAUAUUGUUCAGGGGAAAGAUUGGGAGUAAAGAGAUAAGGGAUCAAACACAAUGCAAUGUUAUGUUCUUUGCCAUUUAAACUUAUCAAAAUAUGCAGCAAACCUAGCACCCAGAUCUUGGUUUCUAAAUACCAUUGUCCAAUAAAAUAUGGCAGAAAUCCCUAGAGAAAUAACUGAUUCUAAGGCUGGGGCAGGUAAAAUUUAAGUUGAGUCUAGAGUACCAUGUAAACUUAAUACAGAUGUGCUCAAAAGGCUAGAAGUGAGGAUUCAACUUAGUGGCUCUCAUCUAACAGACAGAAUAUGGAAAGUGAACAAGAGUAACUUUUAAUAUCAGGGGAAACGUGGUUGACAUGAUCUUAACCAAGCAAUCAAGUUUAACAACUCCAGUAAUAUAUGUUGACAUCAUGGAUGCCUUGAUAUGAUGCAAAAGGAAAAACACCUUUCUUCGAAAUAUUCUUUCAAAGAACCCUAACCUUAGUCUAAUCACAAGAAAACAUUAGAUAAUACCAACUGGAGAGAAGUAUAAGCAAUACUUGACUAGCGUACUCAGAAGUGUCAAGGUCAUGAAAAACAAGGAGUGACUGAGAACUUAAAGAAUCAAAGGGGACAGAGGAGACAUGACAGCUAAAUGCAAUGUCGUAUCCUGGUACGGAAGAAGGAUAAUAGUGGGAAAACUGGUGAAAUCUGAAUAAAUUCUAAAGUUCAACUUCACUCUAUCAAUGUUAAUGUCUUUAUUUUGAUAAAUAGGCCUUGGUUAGGUAAGCUCUUAAUACCAUGUGAAGCUGGUUGAAGGGUAUAUGGAAAGUUUAUACUAUGUUUGAAUCCUAUCUGAAAAAUAUAAAUUGUUUCAAAAUGAAAUCUGAAAAAAAAAAAAAAA